rnacentral:rRNA from 1 species
CGACCGGCGGACGGGUGCGUAACGCGUAUGUAACCUACCUUUGACAGGGGGAUAACAUCGAGAAAUUGGUACUAAUACCCCAUAACAUCACCGGAGGCAUCUUCGGUGGUUGAAAACUCAGGUGGUCAGAGAUGGACAUGCGUUGUAUUAGCUAGUUGGUGAGGUAACGGCUCACCAAGGCGACGAUACAUAGGGGGACUGAGAGGUCAACCCCCCACACUGGUACUGAGACACGGACCAGACUCCUACGGAAGGCAGCAG